AUUGAACGCUGGCGGCAUGCUUUACACAUGCAAGUCGAACGGUAGAGGGGGCAACCCCUUGAGAGUGGCGGACGGGUGAGUAAUGCAUCGGAACGUGCCCAGUCGUGGGGGAUAACGCAGCGAAAGCUGUGCUAAUACCGCAUACGAUCUCUGGAUGAAAGCGGGGGACCUUGUAGCAAUACGGGGCCUCGCGCGAUUGGAGCGGCCGAUGUCAGAUUAGGUAGUUGGUGGGGUAAAGGCUCACCAAGCCAACGAUCUGUGGCUGGUCUGAGAGGACGACCAGCAACACUGGGACUGAGACACGGCCCAGACUCCUACGGGAGGAAGCAGUGGGGAAUUUUGGACAAUGGGCGCAAGUCUGAUCCAGCAAUGCCGCGUGCAGGAAGAAGGCCUUCGGGUUGAAAACUGCUUUUGUACGGAACGAAAAGGUCUGGGUUAAUACCCUGGGCACAUGACGGUACCGUAAGAAUAAGCACCGGCUAACUACGUGCCAGCAGCCGCAGUAA
rnacentral:rRNA from 1 species